rnacentral:tRNA from 130 species
GGGGCCAUAGCUCAGUUGGGAGAGCGCUUGAAUGGCAUUCAAGAGGUCAGGGGUUCGACUCCCCUUGGCUCCACCA